CUCUGGAGUUAAUUACAUCUGCAACCUUUGCUCCCUAGGUCUGUACAGAGUAUAGGUGCCUGUACUUCUGGUUGACAUCUAGACUCAACCCACAAAGAGUUUAAAUUUUGUACUUCUUGACAGAAACAUCAGUGGAGACGGACAACAAUAAGAUAAAACCUACCAGGCAAUAUCUUAUCACUGAUCCCCAUCUGGUAAAGUACAAGAAAUUCCCAGAGGAGAUUCUGGCAACCGAGACUGACAUCCCAAAUGAGCCUUUGGAAUAGAGGAUUCAAGACUACAAGACUAAGUUCAAAGACUAAAUUGAAAAAGCAGGUUCAUCUGAAAGAGAGAAGUGAGAGAGUGUGGAAGAAAGUGGCUCAAAAUAUGCAGAAGUAAGGUGUUUGUGAAGAACAGAGACAUUCUCGGACACAUCCAGGAUUACAGUGGUGUCUUGGAUGACACCCAGACCCAUCUGCCAGAAGAGACCAAUAGCAGAGGAGAAGAAAUCAAAGCUCAAGAUUAGAAUACAGCACUAAGAAACAAAGUGAUGAAAAUAAAAUCAUGAGUCCUACAUAGCACCACACCUUCAACCCAAACCCCUACCCCUAUUCCCACCCCUGCCAGGGUUCCGCUUCAAUCCAUGACUUCAUAUAUAAU